UCUCUGGUGGACUAGUGGUUAGCAUGCGGUGCUCUCAUUACUGUAGUCCGGGUUCGAUUCCUGGACAGAGAA